GUGAAAAUAUUCAACGGCCGCGGUAUCCUAACCGUGCGAAGGUAGCGUAAUCACUUGUUCUUUAAAUGAGGACUAGUAUGAAUGGCACCACGAGGGUUUUACUGUCUUCUUUUUUUAAUCAGUGAAACUAAUCUCCCCGUGAAGAAGCGGGAAUUUAAUUAUAAGACGAGAAGACCCUAUGGAGCUUUAAACAAACAACAUUUGCUGCACAUAACACUUUUACUUUUAAAAAGUAUAGCAUUAUGAUUUUUAGUUUUUGAUUGGGGUGAUCACGGAGCAAAAUGAAACCUCCACGCCGAAAGGGUUGUACCCUGAGCAAAAAGCUACAGCUUUAAGCACUAAGAAAUUAACGCAAUUUGACCCA
rnacentral:rRNA from 1 species